rnacentral:rRNA from 1 species
GAUCCUGGCUCAGAUUGAACGCUGGCGGAAUGCUUUACACAUGCAAGUCGAACGGUAGAGGGGGCAACCCUUGAGAGUGGCGAACGGGUGAGUAAUAUAUCGGAACGUGCCCAGUCGUGGGGGAUAACGUAGCGAAAGUUACGCUAAUACCGCAUACGAUCUAUGGAUGAAAGCGGGGGAUCGCAAGACCUCGCGCGAUUGGAGCGGCCGAUAUCAGAUUAGGUAGUUGGUGAGGUAAAGGCUCACCAAGCCGACGAUCUGUAGCUGGUCUGAGAGGACGACCAGCCACACUGGGACUGAGACACGGCCCAGACUCCUACGGGAGGCAGCAGUGGGGAAUUUUGGACAAUGGGCGCAAGCCUGAUCCAGCAAUGCCGCGUGCAGGAUGAAGGCCUUCGGGUUGUAAACUGCUUUUGUACGGAACGAAACGGUGAGCUCUAAUACAGUUUGCUAAUGACGGUACCGUAAGAAUAAGCACCGGCUAACUACGUG